AUGGCUAACUGGACUUUGCAUCUCCCGGGCUGUCAUCCGUUCUCUCGGCAAAGAAGUCUCCCUACAGUGGGAGCGAAGUUAAAGG